GGCGGCCUACGGGACGCAGCAGUGGGGAAUAUUGCACAAUGGGGGAAACCCUGAUGCAGCGACGCCGCGUGAGUGAAGAAGUAUUUCGGUAUGUAAAGCUCUAUCAGCAGGGAAGAAAAUGACGGUACCUGAUUAAGAAGCCCCGGCUAACUACGUGCCAGCAGCCGCGGUAAUACGUAGGGGGCAAGCGUUAUCCGGAUUUACUGGGUGUAAAGGGAGCGUAGACGGUGAUGCAAGUCAGAAGUGAAAGCCCGGGGCUC
rnacentral:rRNA from 1 species